CUGCUCCAGUUGCCAUGGAGACGGGAAGCUGAACAAUGAGGCUCCAAUCCAGCAUGUCAGGCGCUGGUGAAAGGCGCCCACCACACCCAGCCCCCACCCCCUUGCCCCGGACACCAGCCUGGACCUCCCAGGCCUCCCCAGGGAGGAGAGAGGAGCCAGCCAGCCCGGGGGGGGGGGUGAGGAGAGGGAGUGGAGAGCCCAGCCCCAUUACUCAAAAACUGGCCAAUGGGUUGCCUGGGAUUAAUGCUGGAAGAUCCCCUAGCGACCAUCUAGACGGUUUCUCCUUCUUCCCAUUUUACAGGGCCAGGACCGGAGCUCGAAGGCAGGCACGCAGCCGCCAAGCCAGGGCUCUCUCCAUCACCAUGGAUUGACCCGGUUUGUCUCCUCUCCCACCCUGAAGCUGCCCUUUACUUUCUGUGUCCUCAGAAUGCCACCUCAGAGCAGGGAACAGAGAGCAGCGGAAAUGAGCGCCCUCUCCCCAUUCCCCCCAAAAAGAAAUAGGACGACCCUCGGAACAAAGGAUGUCAGAUGUGGGAAAGACCUUGGAACAGGGAGCAGAGAGGGUCAGAGCUGGACUUCCCACUACAAAGUCCCGAGGACGCAGGAGUCAGUGUCCUGGAAGAUCUCCAGGGAAGAGAAGCUGCCGCCUCCCAAGAGAAGCCCAUCCCACUUUCCUAGGGCUCUAUAAACUUGACUCGACUCUGCAUCUCCUUCCCUUUGCUCCCAGUGUCCCAGUUCUGGAACCAAGCAGAGUGUUUGCCACCCCAAAAAGAGGGGCUCUGAGUGUAUUUGUACAGAUGGCUCCUUUUCCUCCUCCUUUGAUCUCAGUUCAGCAAACAGUAAAUACAGGUUCUUGUCAUGUGCACUGAGAGGACAAAGAUGACAAAUGUCACAGUCUUGACUUCAAGGAACAGAUGAAUGGCAGGGACACACACACUCACACAUACACACCAGAAUGGGAAAAAAAAAAGCUAGCACAGGAUGAGGGCAGCAAAGUAGUCUAUGACAAUCUGAGGAGAGAGAAAUGACUGUGUCCAUGAAGGAAUCAAGGAGGGCUUCUGGGGGAGGUCACACCUGGGCUGAACCAUGAAGGCAAAGACUGACAGGUAAAGCUGGGGCUGGGGAGAGGGACUGGCCAACUAGGUGUGCACAGAUAUAAGAGGGAAAUCCUCAGAACUGUCCGCGGUGUAAGAUGUAUGCAGUGGAGAGAGAAGGUUUGGUAGCAGGUUGCAGCCAGAGGCUGUGGGCAGGCCUCCAACGUCCCCCUGAGAGCCUCCAGUCUGCAAGCAAGCCCUGAAGGUUUCUGAGCAAGGAGGAGCUGGCCUAGGGACUCUCCACCUCCUGCCUCUCUGUACCAGUCAAAGCCCCCAGUGAGCUUGCUGAGCCCCACUCUCACCCCUUUCGUGACAUCCACCCCAGGGAUGGCAUCUACAGGGUCCUAAAUUCCUUUUUUGGUCACAUUUCCUAUUUUUAAUGGACUACACGGAACUCACCACUUAAAGGAACUCAGCUUAGGUGUCUUGCUGUAAAAGGAGUCCAAUAAAC
rnacentral:lncRNA from 1 species